CACUUCCUGCUCUUCUCAGAUUGAAAAUCUGACCAAAAGGAAGAAAAUGUCUAGGUCUCUUCAUGACAUUUGAGGGAGUUCUUGCGGGAGAGAGUAAAUGUGACUGAUUUUUGAUUUACUGUUCUGACACAUGUCAAAUGUUAAAUCCUUUAGAUCUGUGAGACCAUUUGUUCUCAUAAAUGACAUGUAAAAAUACUUGGUAAAACUAGUAGUAUGGCUAAUAGAAAUUAUUUGGCUUCACUUAUUUAAAAUAUUUCAUUAAGAAAAGAUAACAGAUUCCUAAUAUCAGAAGUGGUCAAAUAACUGUGUUGAAAUCUGGGAGGUGGAAUUUGACCUCUCACUUUAGACUGAGUGCCCAGUUUGAGUGGCCAGGUAUACUGCUUAAGCAUACACUUAUCCAAGGGGUUGGAAUGGCAGGUUCCAGGUUAGGCCCAUACACGUCCACUGCUAUGGGACUGGUGUGAAGACCUGUGAAGGCCUUAAGCCAUUUUAACCUUUGGAGGCCUUUACUGUGGCAUAUCAAACAUUAAAUCACCCAUGUCCCACAUAAAAUUAGCUUGUACAAAACCAUGUGCGUUAAGCUUUGAUUGGCUGUAGACAUUUAACAUUUAUUAACUUUAAUUUUGCAAUUUUCUUUGCAUGUUUUGCAUCCAGUAAUGUUUUUUUUCAUAUCUCAAACAUUUACAUAGGUCCUCGAGAUGCUCAUGAGCCUUAGGGACUGUGCCUAUAUGCCUAGAGAUAAGACAUCCCUGUUCUGCUGGGAAGUGGACAUUGGCAGGAUCCUAAGGCCUUUGUAGCCCUUCAGCCACUGUGGGCCCUGCCUCUGCCUGUUCUUCUGGAAUGUCUUGGGGGUUUUGAUCCUGUCAUUGUGGUAAGUUUUCCCUUUGUUUCACCAUUUGUCCUGGAUGGAGAAUCCCCCUUGAGUAUUUUAAGCCAAAGCUGUCUCUAGAAUUUUUUCUGAGCAUGUGCCCUUUGGGGCU
rnacentral:lncRNA from 1 species